rnacentral:rRNA from 1 species
UGGGGAAUUUUGGACAAUGGGCGAAAGCCUGAUCCAGCAAUGCCGCGUGUGUGAAGAAGGCCUUCGGGUUGUAAAGCACUUUUGUCCGGAAAGAAAUCCUUGGCUCUAAUACAGUCGGGGGAUGACGGUACCGGAAGAAUAAGCACCGGCUAACUACGUGCCAGCAGCCGCGGUAAUACGUAGGGUGCAAGCGUUAAUCGGAAUUACUGGGCGUAAAGCGUGCGCAGGCGGUCCGCUAAGACAGAUGUGAAAUCCCCGGGCUUAACCUGGGAACUGCAUUUGUGACUGGCGGGCUAGAGUAUGGCAGAGGGGGGUAGAAUUCCACGUGUAGCAGUGAAAUGCGUAGAGAUGUGGAGGAAUACCGAUGGCGAAGGCAGCCCCCUGGGCCAAUACUGACGCUCAUGCACGAAAAGCGUGGGGAGCAAACAGGAUUAGAUACCCUGGUAGUCCACGCCCUAAACGAUGUCAACUAGUUGUCGGGUCUUCAUUGACUUGGUAACGUAGCUAACGCGUGAAGUUGACCGCCUGGGGAGUACGGUCGCAAGAUUAAAAACUUAAAUGAAUUGACGGGGUCAUAGCUGUUUCCUG